CGUGGUUAUAACCUUCCUGGUAAACCAGACGGAAAUAAAUAUUUUGAACUAAAAGGUAAUUAUUAGGACUUAUUCGAUACUUCCAAGAUAAAUUUUUCAUUCUUUAGUUACGUUUUCAAUUCUUCCCUAUAAACAUAUGCCCUAAAUACGUUAAAUUUGUAGAAUUGUGAUAUUUAACUUUCGUUCUGGACUUUGACAUAAUAAUAUAUAUGUUAUGUCCUAUUACUAGGUCAAUAUAUUGUCUCAAUUUAUAAUAUCUUUGCUACACAAGAUAUAUAUAUAUAUACGUUCAAUGAAUAAUUAAUUAAGCAGGUUUAGGAAAAGUUGCUGUAUUUGUUUGUUAAUGUAUCCAGAGACAUAUAUACACAUGUGUAUAUAUGUCUCUGAUGUAUCGAUGCUAUCAGAUUCUAAUUUAUUUACACAAAAGAAAAUAACACAAACACACAAAAAAGAAGUCCAAUCACGUAUGUAUAAACAUUGGUAUCUAUGAUGAGUUUAUUUAUUAACAUAUCCUUGCGUAUGAAAAAAAAAAAUGAUGUGUAUGCCCCUGCGACAAGAUGUCUGCUCUCCGUCCGUCCGUUUGAUCAUCUGGAUACUUGAUUUGAUCUCCUACAAUUUUUGAGCUAUGAAAGCCUUUAUCUUUUUUAGGAUUUUCUACACAUUAUAGAGGUGUGCAUGUCCACAGUAUUUUCAUGUUUUUUUCAAAUAUUCUCAAAAUGCUAGAUAUUUGGACGUUAUCAUUUUUUGUCGAGCCUGAGACUUUCGUCGCAGAAAGCUCAACAUAGGGAUAGUGAUACGGCGGCGGGGGUGGCGUUAGUUCAACUAUUCAAAGCUUAAUAUAGAUGCCUUAUGAUACGAAGUUUCCGACUGUCACACGUUUAUGGUCAUUGACAUCAUUUUCAUGCAUCGGUGACUAAUUAAAAAAAAAGUUUUUUGUAAUGUGAAUUUUUCUUCUAUUAUGAGUUAUGGGAUCUAUAUUUGGUUUGUGUGUACCUUGAGAGGUCGUCGUGCCCGUCAGGCAGUUUUCAUUUGAUUUUGACCUCAUUUCAUGGAUAGGUUAACAAGGUUAAGUUUGGUGGUCAAGUCCAUAUCUUCAGAUACUAUAAGCAAUAGGCGUAGUAUUGUUGGUGUAAGAAAGAUUGUAAGAUGUAAAUGAUCAAUUGCAGGUGUCAUCUGAACUUGAACUCAUUUACAUUGUUCAGUUGUUAUAGUGAAGUCUUUGUGUUUUGGUCUAUUUUUCGUAUACUGUAUAUAAUAGGUCUACUAUAUUUUGUUUAUGGAAUGAUUGUAAGGUUUACACGUCUAAUUGGCAGGUGUAUUCUGACCUUGAUCUCAUGUUCAUGGUUCAGAGGUCAAAGUUAUAUUUUUUUAAGAGUUUAGUCUUUUUUCUUAUACUGUAUGCAAUAAGGCCAACCAUAUUUGGUGAAUGGAAAUAUUCUAUGAUGUACAUGUCAGUCUCACAGGUUUGAUUCACCUUGACCUCAUUAGCACAGUUCAUGGCUUAGUGUUAAGAUUUUGUGUUUUGGUCUGUAUUUCUGAAACUAUAUUCAAAAGGUCAACUACAUUUGUUGAAUGAAAGGAUUGUAAGCUGUACAUUGGUCAAAUUUGUGUUUUCUUGGUUAAGUUUGUUUCUAAGAAACUAUAAGCAAUAGAUCAACUAUAUUAUAGUAUUGAAUGUUUGCAAGGUGUACAUGUAUUUCUUGUUUAAUUUGUAUGACCUUGACCUCAGUGUCUUGAAACAUGUUCAAUUUAUGUAAUAGUUGUAAUGAAGUUUUAAAUAUCAAUGGUUAGUAAAGAAGACGAUACAUUUCAGCGUAUGCACCCUUGUUUAUAGUAGCGGCAUAUAAAGAGAUAAUAGUUUGUCCGUCUAUGUCCUCCUCAGUAUUUGAGCUACAACUUUAAUAUUUAGAUUUUUUUGUUUGUAUCCAUAAUGGAAUUAUCAAUAUUCACCAAAUUAAGAUAUUUUCAAAUUACCCACAAUGCCCGUUUUUUGGACUUUAUACACGUAAUUGAAAUGUCCACAGAUUUUAGAUUUUUCUCAAUUAUUCUCCGAGUGCCACAUAUUUGGACUUAGUCGUUUUUGUACUCAGAACUAAACAAAAUAUCUUUAUACACAGUGUUGAAUUUAUAUAUUUGCUCAGAUUGUGGCAUCAGUGGCGGAUCCAGAGGGGGGGUUCCGGGGUGCGCACCCCCCCUUUAUUUUGGCCGAUCAAUGCAUUUGAAUCGGGACAUAUUUUGCACCCCCCCCCCCCUUUGCCCUGGGCAGCACCCCCUUUCGAAAAUUCCUGCAUCCGCCACUGGGCAUCAUUUGUGUCUUACUGACAGCGUAACACUUUCAAGUUAUAAUUCAACAUCACUGUUUGUCAAAUCUAAAGUAUGUGGAACUAUACUCAUGCAUAUAGCAGAGCAGAAAGGGGCAUCGUGAUUAGUCAAUAUCUAGUUGUUUUUAAAUGUUUUAACAUUUUUAAAUAGCUUCGCAUUAAUGUCAAGAACUGUAACUCUCUCUUUAUUGUGUACAAAAAAACAACAAGUACGUUUUUGUCAAUCUAUUGUGUUAUUAUUCUCCUUUGCGUAAAACAUGAGAAAAAGAAAAGUUUUUUAAUGGAUAAUACACUUCAUUAAUUAAGCUAUGUGUCUACUUUAAAACAAAGAUUGGUUUUCUAGUUAUGCUUUGACGUGCAAUCAAGUGUGGUGGUCUAUCAUUAUAUUUACGUGUAACUGAUAAUAGCUUUAUACUGUGUAGGUACUUUUAUUUAUGGAUAUCAAUUUUCCUGGUUUGUCAAAAAUCACGUUAGUUCGUGGGGUGUUGAAUUCGUGGCUUUACUUAGUGCAUCUGAGUUUAGAAUGAAAUUUCACAUUUCAGGGGGAUUUCAUAUUCGGGGUUUAAAACUAAAUCAAGUCAUCAGUUUUGUUCAUGUUGUUUGUUGAUAAAGAUGUUGUUGGUAACUCAUAUAUUGUUAUUUGUAGUUUGUGUUAAAUGGCGACAGCUUCUAAGAGCUGUGGUGUUUGUGAACUCCGUCACAUCACCAAAGCAUCCAAAGUCUGGUGUACAGAAUGUGACGAGGGCCUGUGUACAGAAUGCCACGAACAUCAUAGCUUGUCUAAGGCAUCGAGAAGUCAUAGCGUGAUACCCUUUACUGAAUACCAGAAAUUACCAGCUGAUGUACUUAAAUUUACUCAGUACUGUACCAAACACGAUAAAAAAUAUCAAAUGUAUUGUCAGAAGCAUGAAUGUCCCUGCUGCAGCAAAUGCAUCGUGGAAAGCCAUACCGAAUGUCGAGAUUUCGUCGAAUUAGAUGACGUUAUUCACAAUGUCAAAACCUCCAAUGCCAUGUGCGAGUUAGAGGAAACAUUAGUUGAAGUAGCAGAAAAUCUACAGAAAAUUCGUCAAAAUCAACAGGACAAUCUGACAAAAUUCAAAGAAAGUAAGAAAGGGUAAGAAACAGAAAAAAAAAGACUAGAAAAAAGAUCAACGACCAUCUCGACAAGCUACAAGAGGAUUUGAUGAAAAAACUUUAUGCGGAAGAAGAAAAAGAAAACUCCAAAAUAUGUCAGUUAUUGUCAUCAUUAGAAAGGAAGGAAACAGAAAUAGCAGAAUGUCAGAGAAACAUUCUGAACAUAAAGCAACAUGCAACAGACCUUCAAGUCUUUCUUUCCAUGAAAAAAAUAGAGGACGACGUCUAUAGCAAAAAUAAAUUCAUACAGUCGCUUGAAGAAGACAAGAUUUUCACCAAAACUUCUCUUUCAUAUAAGAUCAACACCUCUAUCCAGAAUAUCAUGUCCGAUAUCAGAAGUUUUGGAGAUGUGUAUAAUGAAGCUAAAUCUUGCGAUAUAGUUAUUACUAGGAAAAAGGCUAAUCAAGCUCAAAUGAUGGUACCGACCGAUCAAUCAAGACCCAUUGAAAAUAUUACGUUAACGAAACAAAAUACUAUCAACACUCAAGGAAACUUAACCUACGGAUGUUGCAUGUUUCCGGAUGGUAGAAUGGUAUUUACUUACUCGGUAUUCAAUAAUUGUAAGGUAAUUGUGUUUGACAUGAAUGGAACAAAAGACUUUGAAGUGAAGAUGCCGUGUAACCCGUUUGAUAUAGUGUACAUCAGUGAAGAUAAUACAUUAGCUGUCACAUCUGGUGGUUCAGUGAAGAAGUGUAUAACUAUUAUAGACUUGGAGAAGAAACGAAUCAAGAAAAUAAUUUCACUGGAUUCGUUAUACAGUUAUGGCAUUGCAUUGAAAGAUAAUCGAUUGAUUUAUUCCGGUAGAGACAAAGGUAUACGAAUGAUCAAUAUGUACGACGAUUCUAUAACUGACAUAGUUCAAGACACCAUGCCAUUUGACUGUUACACUGCAACAUUUAGGGACAACAUAUACCAUACAAACAAUGAAACACACACUGUCAUAUGUUAUAAUCUACAAGGUGAAAUACAAUGGACAUUCCAAAAUCAAAGCAUUCUUAAGAUUCCUCUCGGUAUAGAUGUAGAUAGUGAUGGUAAUGUGUACGUGGUGGGAUUCUGUUCGAACAAUGUGGUAGUUAUCUCCCCUGAUGGACAACGACAUAGAGAAAUAUUGACAGGAAGUGAUGGUCUUAAUGAUCCUGCCUCGCUUCAUUAUAGCAGACCACAAAAUCAGUUGCUAGUCGCGAACUUGCACAAUAAGGCUCAUUUGUUCAAUAUAAAUUGAACAAAUUUAACAUCUCAAACUUGACUCUCUUUAGAUUAUAAUCUGUAAAUAUUCAUAAAAGCUGAAAUUUGGAACCAUAUUUUGUCAAUUUGUCAAUUACACAAUAUAUAUGAAAAAUGUGGUGUUUGUUUGAAACAAAAAUAAAUAUGCACUUUAAUAUAUUUGUGAAGCUUAUGAUAUAUCAAUUUAGCAUAUUUAUGGUAUCCCAUUUACACAAGUAUUUAGUGAACUAUUGCUGGGUUAGUCCCACAUCAAGCUUAAACAAUGACUUUAUAUACAUGUACUUUGAUUGAAUAUGUAAGUAAACGAGUAAAACACAAUAUAGUCGCUUAUCUGUAAAGAAUAUACAAAAUGUCAUGUUUAUGAAGUUUUUUUAAUAUAUUUGUGUUAGAAAAAUAAAUUUAAUAAACAAAAUGAAUAUAACAUUAAUUUAAUAUGAAAAUGAAAAGGGCACAUGCUGUAUAUUACCACAAUCUUCUCUUGUCAAUAUGUUCUGUAGUAUAAGUACACAAUCAAUUGCUUUUAACAAAAAUGCCGCAUAUAAAGUCUUCCAGCAGUACAAUGCCCUGGAAAAAAAACCUCAUUGGUAAUGGUAUUGUUAGCGCCCUUAAUUUGCAAUGGUAUUGUAAGCACACAAUUUUUACGAUAUUUCAUUAAAUUUAUAUCAAAGUUUUAAAUCACCAAUGUUCAAUACAAAUUCGAAAUUAUUUUUACGGAAUUAUGUCAGUUCAAAAUGUUUAUUGAAUUCAUUGAAAAAAUAAAUUGUUAACAUUAUCUUGCCUCCAUUUUGUUCGUUAUAUUUUUAUAAAAUUAAGAUGAAUGCUUGAUAUCAGCACAGAAGAUUUCAAUAAUCAGAUUACAAUUUUGUUAUAAGAGUUAUGUCCCUCUGAAAUGAUAUAAAUUGGAAAAUAUGAGUGUAAUCUAUCCAAUACCUUCGUUAUUCGUCGUGUUUUAUGAAUAGAGUAAAGGAAAGAGAAACGUAUCUUAACGUUCCUAUAUCUCUUACGUUUGCUCGUCUGUUCCGUUUAUCAAAUUAAUAUUACCAUCAAAUGUUUGGCAUUUAUUACCACUAGUAACCCGAAUUUUAUGCUGAACGACAAAACGUGUUAGCUAUUUUAAUGAGAUUAUUGUUCAUUUGAUAAAGAUUGACAAAAUUAAAAAAUUUUUUUACUUCAUUUCAAUUCAUUUCAAUUAUUUUAAGCCAGUCAAUAAGAUUUCUUUGCGGUGAAUAUUGAAAUCAAGUUGCUGGUACUCGUACGUCCACUAUUAGGCCACGCCACCGUUAAACUAUUUAAAGGCAUCAAUUCGUUUUAAACUGCUUGAGACGAGCUUGGUACAAGGUAAUCACUCAAGCAAGACAAACUUUAUUUAUUUAUCGGGUUUUUUUUUUCAUCCAUUUUAAUCGAAUUCAGUUAAAUUGUGUGUAUUUUAGUCAGUCGCUGCUUUCACAAUUGUUAACAAAUUAAUGAAACAUAUGAUGUGACAUUUUUAAAAGAAUUUAAAUAAAACAUUAAAAAUAUUGGAAUGCCCGUUUAAAAUGUGACUUCUGUUGAAAAUAAAUUAGUAACUUGCAAACUUCAAUCCAUUUGUUCUCACGAGGUCCGCGUCUCAUGUUUCAAUGCGAUACGUAAUGAAAGUCCAAUAUGUUUAAAAUGUAAUAGACUCUAACGAGUCGAGUUCUGUUCCAAAUAAAUAUUGAAUAGCACUUAUAAGCCAUAAUGUUGAAUAUUUCGUCUUUUGUUGAAAGUCGACACGUCUCCCUCUAGAUGGCUUUUCGGUUAUUUUCGGUAGUUCGGUUGCUGUUCAUUGGCGCUAAUAUCUUAAUCCUCCUUUUUUUCGUGCAUCACUUAUUUAUCAUGUGCACUGAUGGCUGAAAAAAAUUGAUCAUAUACAAUCGAUAGCACUGCCUUGUCACGUUUUUUUGCAUAAAAUAGAGGUUGAUUUGGAUUUGAAUGGGUUUUACUAACGUCUAUGGCAAAUAUUUCACCAUUAAUAAGCCAUUAAGUCAGUGGCACAUCUGACGAAAAUUUCAAACACGAGAUUACAAAUUGCUGAUUUUUUUCUGAGUUUAUUAACUAAUGCAUAUGCUGGCUUAUCUACUAUAUCGUUUACCCCAUUGUGACCGUAAUGGACGUAUGAUGAAUGAAGUUCAUGUUUUAUCUUUAUAUAAAUUUAAAAGGUUCAACGGGUUGAAAAUUAUUAUACAUUUACAAAAACCAUCAUUUAUUUUUAAAAUAAAUUCAACAACAUAUAAUAUAAUUUUAAAAAUUUAAUUGACAGUUUAAUAUUGCCAUUAUAUACGAUAUAAAGACGAUGUCGAUACUCAUUGAGUCUUUUUUAUCGUUAUAUUUUAGCACUAAAUAAAUACAGGGUUAUUCAUAUCAUAGAAAAAUACAAACAACGUUAGUUAAGAACGAUGGAUACAUAUAAUGUUUUAUAUUUCAAGUUUCGAAUCAGAUUUUUUAGGCACAAGUGUUAUACUCUUUUGAUAACACGUAGAGUUACUUGUACAUUCGGAUUGCGAUAUCAACGUAAAGCGAAAUUUACGGUACUUUAUAGAUUAUACUUUUGUUUUCAUCUAAUUGUAUUGGUCAUUUUAGGACCGUUUAGCUUGCUGUUUCAAUGAGGACCAAAGCUCCGUGUUGAGGGCCGUACUUUUGACUCUAAUUAAAUUAUACCAUGUGAUUGACGGAGAGUUGUUUCAUUGGCACACAUACCACAUUCUUUCUUAUUUAUAUUAACCGGGAGAGUUUAUUAAUUUUCAUUAGAAUAAAAAAUAUAACAUUCAAGUGAAUCAAAUGAAUUUGUAGUCAUAUUUGUUACAUUCAAGAAGGUAAUUUAAAUUUUGAUUGAUAGUAUACAUUAUUUUUAUUGCAUUGUCCACAAAAUAAUGCCAUUGUCAAAUAUUACACAUCGAUGACCACCUUAGAUUAGUUACUUUAAGUUAAACUCAUUUCCUGGCUGGUAGUACAACGCUUGUAUUUUGUCUUUAAUGUUAGUUUGUCGGUCUUAAUUCAAUGAAGUAUAUUAAAUAUUAAUGAAUCACAGUUUAGGAAGCAUUCUUCGUCAUUAUGCAAAUAUGAUAAAAAAAAAAAGUAUGAAAAUUUGCUUACGACUGAAUUCAGGCGAGAGAAAUAUGUCUUUGUUUAUUUCAGAUUACCGAUUGAAUUUCAGGCGAGAGAAAUCUGUUUUGUUUAUUUCAGAUCUUAUUUAGUACAUAUACAAAAGUUUCUUAAUCUUUUACACAUUUACAAAUAAAUUUGAUUAGUUGCUUUUUUCAACAUGCCAUGAGUGAUGAAAUGUAUGAUCUAAUUUUUCAGAGUUUGUGAAAUUUGAAAAUGCUACGUUUCGGCAGUGUUCUGGUUCCGGGAAAACACAUUCGCUAUAAUAAAAUGCUUGUAAAAUUUUACGUAGUGGUACGCUUAUUUGACAUAGCUUCCUAUAAGAAAGUGAAAAAAAAACCAGUUUUUUGAAAUUCACUAAAAAAGAUUAAAACGAAUAGUUUAACUUACUUUUCAAACUUCGAUACACAAAUAAUCUCUAAUUUAUCCACGCUUGAAAUUUGUUUUUACUGACAGGUGUCUCUGGUAUUUCGAUUGGAACAUCAAUAUCAAUGGGGAACAGCCUAUCUAUUUAUCAUCAGCUGUCUUGAGUGUUCGAUGAACAUACGGUCCUACUUUUUCUUGUAUGAAUUUAAAUUGAUUGCAAUAAAAAUUAUCAAUACACAUAAAGCAACAAUGUCUAGCCCAAAAAUGAUUACACGACGCUAUACUAAUAACAUAUUAUAUACUUAAUAAUUAUUACACAUUAGACAGCGUAAAAAUCAAAAUAAUAACCUUAAUAAUAUUAAUAUUUAUCGGUAAGCUCUGAAAUUAACGGGGAUACUAUGUUUUUAGUAUGAUAGUCCCAGCAAAUUACAAAUUGAUCAUCAAAAGACGGUUGUGCAUGUGAGUCCAGACUUGCGGUAACGUCUAACAACCCACGCAGCGCUUAUGGUGCACUAAGACGCUAAGACAUUUUAAUGGAACAUACGCAACUUUCUAGAACAAAUUUGAUAUUGUUUCAGAUAAAUAGCCAACCGCUUAUAUUGAAAAUAAACAGUCAUGAAAGAAUAUUAUAUAACAUUGUACGGACAUUUUGACUAAUUCACUAGUUUGAUACGCGGCAGCAAAAACAUCGAGCGAGCAAAGAUAAAAAAAAUAAAAUAAUCUAAAAUUAUGUAUUUUUAAAUCAAGGACAAAGCGUACGCAUAUGUCACCGAAUCCGAAUCUGACUGACUAGCAAUUACUACAAAUAAACCAAAAAAAAAGAAACACGUAAUGUUAGAUCAGGAAAAAAAUGAAUUUAGAAUUAGAUUUUGUGAUAUUGGAAUAUUAUUAAGCUUUUUAAAAUAUCGAAUUAAUAAAGCUUCAGAUCAUAAUAAGCAUGAUGUGGUACACGCUCACACGAUAAAAUAUACGGCAUAAUUUCAUAUAAAAUUACAAUAAACCUUUAAUAAUGAAUUCUUAUAAGCUAAUGUUUAAAGCUCUAAUAUAAGAGAUAUGAGGAUAUAUUCAAUUUGACGGCAACCCAAAACGACAAAACACUAUAGAUAAAAUAAGACCGGCAUGUUUAGUCUUCAACAAGAAACAUGUGUCUCACGAAAUGCAAGAUCUAAUCAUAUGACUUGUAGAUACAAUUUCAAAAAACAAAAUAUUUCAAGCUAAAUUUAAUAUAAAUAUUCAUUACUUCACACAUAUUUCUAGAUUUUCUAAAUCGUAUUUGGACACGUAUGCAACGCCCAUGUAUUUUGUUCACAUAAUGUUUUGACGGUUUUCCUUUUUUAUUUAUAACGAUUACAACAUUCUCAAAAAAAGAAAACCCCCUAAAAAAAAACAGCAUGACAGACACUUUUAAAACACUUUUAUAAGUCAAGCGUAUAGGUUUUACUUCUUAAUGCAACAUCCUUUGAUCUACCGACAAUUUACCUAUACAUAUGUUGGCUUUCGAGGAAUAGGUGCAAAAAAGUUAUCAAUCAAACGAGAGCAUGCUUAUCAAAUGACAUUUAGAGGUAUAGGGGAAGGUUGAAUCUCACAAACAUGUUUAACCCCGCGCAUUUUUGCGCCUGUCCAAGUCAGGAGGCCUCUGGCUUUCUUAGUCUUUUGUAUUACUUUUAUUUAGUUUGUGUAACAAUUGGAAAUAUAUGGCGUUCUUAUCACUAACUAGUAUAUAUUUGUUUAGAGCCAGCUGAAGGAGACCCGGUGCGGGAAUUUCUCGCUACAUUGAAGACCUGUUGGUGACGUUUUGCUGUUUUUUUUUAUUUGUCGGGUUGUUGUCUCUUCUGACAAAAUUCCAUUUCCAAUCUCCAUUUUAUUUAAUUCGAAUUGAAUUCGAAUGAUGCGAUCGAAUUCGCUAAUCGCGUACAUACCCUUUCUUUUAUUACGAAUUAAAUGUUCGUGUGACGAGCAUAAUUACAGAUAUUAAAAAUCUAAUUCAUGUUUGUUACGUUUUGAAUUUUUUUUUUCUGAUGAAUUACUACUGAACGAAUAUGGAUUCUUUAAGAAUGACACUUAUGAAAGUGUUGCAUCACCAUGUGCAUAUUGUGAGAAAUUCAGUUUACACAAUUGUGAAGGCUUUUGGACUUUGAAGGUUUUUUUCAUACUUUCUCUAGUUGUGUGUGCUGUAACAUCCUACCACUAUUACUUGCUUAAAUUCUCUGAAACUUGUAUCACGUGUUAUGAAUACUUUCGAUGUAUUAUGUUCAGUUUGUCAGGAUCAAUUUUUCUUGGUAAUAAUACUACACACUUUUUGCAAGUGAUUCAUAAAUGAUACUGGUAAGGGGUUUUACGUGUUGCCAAAUAUCGGUGUUUCUUAUAAAAAAGUAAUGUAGUUUGAUUGGAAUGAGACAAAUUUCCAAAAGACCAAAUGACAAGAAAUUCAAAGUAUUAAAUAGCCACCUCACAGUCUUUCAACUAUGAGCAAAGCAUAACACAUAGUGGAACACCUAUACACAUCAGAUGACCCGUUUACUUAUCAGAUGUAAAUAAAUAAAAUACUACACAGAAUCAGACGUGGGUCAGGUUCUUGUAUAUCAAACAACAAAACACCUUGUAGUACAAAUCUCUGAAAAACAUUUUUUGCAGUUACUGGCAGCUAGUUCAAAGCACAAACAACUAAAAAAAUCAAUCCGCUAUUAGAUAAUUUUGUUCCCUAUUUUAUGGUUUAUGUUUUAAUAAAAUAUUCUUAAUCAUGCAUAUAUAACGCGUAACAAAUAUAUUUAUAUAUAUGGAACAAAAUAAUUCUAAUAUCUCUUUUAGUUUGAAUUUAUAUUUAACUAAUAUAAUGUUAUAUUUAUUAUAUUUUAUGUUAAUAAAACUUGUUAUAUCCAAAUUUUUAUUUUUUUAACAAGAUUGAUCGUUUAUAUAAACUAUAACGUGUUAUUUUCCAUUGUUUAACCCAAGCGUACAUUUUAACUAAAUAAAUUGAAUUAAACUACGGUUCUCUAAUUUUGUGCAUUGGGAAUUAAAAUCUCGAUAUGUUCAUUACUCUUUUUUGUUUACAACUCUGUCUUGUUUUUUUUUUCCUGGUCGUACUAUUUCAAAUACUUCAAUUUAUGACUGUUCAUGUGUUUCCAUAAGUUUACCAUAGUUAUCAUAUGGUGGGUUAAAAAUAAUGGUAACCUAGUUUUUAGUGUUUUUAUGUCUAAUCUUACGUUUUAAUUUAUGACCUGAACCGCCUCUGGGCGAGGGAUUUUCUCGCUUUGUUGAAGAUAUAAAAAAGAUGAUGUGGUAUGAUUGCCAAUGAGACAACUAUCCACAAAAGACCAAAAUGACACAGACAUUGACAAUUAUAGGUCACCGUACGGCCUUCAAAAAUGAGCAAAGCCCAUACCGCAUAGUCAGUUAUGAGGACCCAUUAGUGGCUUUUUACUGCUUUCUGCUCUUUUGACAUGGUUACUGUCUCUUUUACACAUUCCACAUUUCCAUUCUCAAUUUUUAAGAAUGUUUGGUUCGGAUGAAACUAAAUCCUUUAAUUUCCGUGAAUAUCAAGUAAGAAAAUUUACUGAUUCAGUAGCAUCGUGUGCUGCAAGUUGUGAUAGAUAAUGCAAAAUGUUUCAAUCAUUUUACCUUAGAUUUCAUUUCAUGGAUAUGUAGGUAUGGAUAGUCUGCUUUUACAUCAUAAAAAUUCACACAGAAGGUAUACGCAUAUCAAUAAACUGAACUCAAUGCUGAGAACAUAUAAAGUACACUUAGACAGAGAGCUCAAUCUAGUGAAACACUUUGUUUAGUUGGUCACAUUUAACUUGAAAUCUCACUGUCUGUUACCAAACUGCACCGAGAUCCUGAAAAAAAUGACCUGCUUGUGAAAAAAAAUUAGUAAACUUUCACAUAUAGAUUCGCGUAAUUUUGACCGUUUUGUGACCAUAAGCAUUGUGAAUAAGUUUCAAAACAUUUGGUUGAGACAAAUUAAGUUUCAAAAACGGAACAAUAGAUUUUAGAAGUUUUUCUAUCUCAGGCUCCGGGUUGACAUUUGUAUCAUUGGUACUCGUAACAACUUUUUUACUCUAAAAAACAUGAACGUGACGCCAUCGGCCCAAUAUCGAACUAAUAGAUUGUUUUAUGGGGUAUGUGAAUCGCGUAUAAGGUUCUAACAUUUGAUUGAGUAGACUUACUUUAAAGAGAAAAGGAACGAAAGAGUCAGCACUUCUUAUGUUUUAACGGGACAUGAUAACUCUUCAAACCGUAAAAGUGACACUUAAACUUUUUAUUUUGUGUUGAGGGUGGGGAUCCCGCUUCUACAUGUUAAACCACGCCUUUAAUUCGGUUGUAUGUGCUGGUAAGUCCAGGAGCCUGUAUUCAAAUGAAUGUCGUUUUUAUUUGUUACAUCUUUUUCGUUCAUUUUUUUUUGUACACUAAAUUUUGUUCGUUUAUUUUCUCGUUGAAUAUUCGUCGUUUUAAAGCAAUGUCAUUUCAUGCUUUUAUUUGCUGAACUAUAUGCGGGUAAUUUGACUUUGGGCUCAUUGUUGAAAGCUGUAUUGACCUAUAGUUGUUAGUGUUUGUGUCAUUCUGGCGUUCUUUUUGUGGAGAGUUCAUUGGCACUCAUGCCCAUAGGGGAGGGUUGGGAUCCCGCUAACAUGUUUAAACGCUUAUUUUUUAUAUGACACCGUGCCUAUUUUGGUUUUUUUCGUUAUUUUUUGUACAUAAAAUUAGACCGUUUUGUUUUCUCGUUUUGAAUUGUUUUACAUUGUCAUGUCGGGGCCUUAAUAGCUUGACUUUGCGGUAUGAACUUUCUCUUGUUUGAAGACCGUGUGGUGACUAAGGCUACAUUGUAUAAUUGUUAAUUUCUGUGUCAUUUAGUCCUCUUGUGGAGAGUUUAAUUGGCAUCAUGCACACAGCUUCUUUUUUAUAUAGUGUUGUAUAAAGUUUUGUAGUAUUUGUUGAGGCAAACUAAGUUAUGAGAGCGGAACCCGUUUUAUGGACGUUUUUCGGGCGACAGACGGACUAGUGUAACAUCUUUAUGCCUCCUAAAUCAUGGCGCCAAAAGAAGUUCUGACUAUUCUCUGUGAUACACAUCUACUAGCACUGUCAUUAUAACACAUGUACAGUAGUUUUAUUUAUAAAAUAAUUUAUCUUAAUUUUGAUUUUCUUUCUUUUGGCCGAAUAAUUUUUCAUCCUUCACAAUGACUGAAUGAGUAUCAAUUUGAAAAUUUAUUUGUACAUAAUCAAUACAUUUUUUAUAUUUCUAACUUUUUUUCAAUAAAUUCUUUACUUACCACCUUAUUAAAUUCAUGCACUUUCUUUUAUAUGUCUUUUAAAUUCUGUUUGAACAAAAGAUUUGUUACACCUAUCUUCACAUGAUUUUCUGAUCUAAUCUGACAUUAAUUAAAAAGCCUUAAAUAAUUCAGUCGAACUUGAUAAUAAUGUCCAAUCAAAUAUAUUGCAAGUCGUCACUUGGUCAAGUGGCUAGUGCAAUUCGUUAGCCAUAUAAACACAUGUCCUCAUUGGGUGGUUUUAAAACUUCUAGCAAAGACGGAUCCAGGGGGGGGGGCUGCCUUGUCCCUUUCGUGGGAAAAUUUUGUUUGAUUAUAUAGGGAAUCAUUGAAGCAUGACUGGAGCGGGCCUCCCUUAAGAAAAAGUUCUGAUCGCCACUGUCUAGACAUAUUUACGUAAGUAAGGGAUGAAGUAAAGGAAAAAAAACAAAACAAAACGACUGAAUUAAAUAAAAGGAUGUCGAUUCUGUUACUUCGGUUUGUUUUAAUUUAACGAUGCUUUAUUUUUAUCUAGUUUCCUUAUCAAAAUAAUUAAAUGGAAGAUAUGACCUUAUAGCUUCCUUUCCGUCGAUGCUAAAAUGUUUUUAAUGUUAUAAAAAUAGUUUUUAGCGUUUUGAAGCCUACUUUACUUUUAUUCGGAGACUUUGCGGUUUUCUUUGUUAUUUCAAACGGGAACUUAGAAAUGAUCUACGAAUAGAACCAGAUGGAACAAGAAGUUUGGGUUGCCUUAACCAAACAACCGCGGAUGUUGAACGCAGUUACCAUGGUUUCGAACAAAGAAACAGGUUCAGACCAAAAAAACCCAGACGGAACAAGGUUUAGAACAGAGUGCCGGAUAUAAUAAAUUUGCAUUCGGAAUUCUCAAUGACUUUUUAUACCUUCAAUGUAUUUCCAAAUAUUUAUUUAUUUAUAGUAUAUUCUAUAUUAUUUAUAUACUACAAUAAUAGUAACAAAAUCAUUUUCUUUCUAUCUUUAAUACUUCAAUGAAUUAUUUAACUUAAAUUUUGGCUACUUUUACUCUCAUCAAAAUGUGGAUAAACUGUUACAUUCAUCAAGUUCUACUUAUUUUUUAAAGUUAAUAUACUUAUAAAAACGAAAUUUUUUUGUUGGCAUUCAACAGGAAUAGGUAACAUAUAAAAUGUUGGAUUCGAGGAAGACAACAGCGUAAACACGAGUGUUUUUUUUUAAACAAUCGAUAAUUUCGUUGCCCAGGGAUUAUGAAUUUGACAUUAAAUAUCCUCAAACCUUUUACAAUACCGGCGUGAUUUCCGUUUUAUAGAUCGAGAACACGACUUUUAGGAUAGCAUGAAUUCGCACGGGACGUUUGCGCUUUUUCAUAGGACAUUUGCGCUUUUUUUUUUGUGGACACUUGCGCUUCAACAAUGUGACAUUUGCGGCUUUUUUAAAAAUGGACAUUUGCGCUUUUCAUAGGACAUUGCGCUUUUUUUAUAUAUAUAUUAUAACUUCCAGCCUCCUCUUUUAUCCGGGCUUUGGGAACGGUAGGUUUUGACUGGCAGAGUUAAAGUUCAUUCUUUAUGGUUAAAGUUUAAAUUUCAUAGCACCUUCAUAUGUCAUAGCAAUUGUUGAUAUAUGUUUAACAGUGUAUGUACAAGAAAUAAAAUCAAGUACUGUCAUCACAAUUACAGGUCAGUUUUAGCUUGAAUUUGAGCCCAAUGAUGAACAAAUUUUGCUCUUGUUAACUGUCCGCUGAUUGGUACUUUAGCCUUCAAAUAAACAAUGGAUCGAGUUUUUCUUUCCCUUUCCAACGGUACUUGCUCCUUGAAAGGUCCUCCAAUUUUUUAGAGGUUUGGUCGAAACGAUAUAAAUCCAUCAAGACAUAUUCAUAUUUUUUUCUUUACUAAGUACAACUAUAACUUUAAAUCCAUGUUCCACUGCUGUAAAUGUGAACUAAUAAUGACAAAUAUAAGUUAAAUUUAUUUACGUAAUGAUUUACUUCUCAUUAGAUUACGGUAGUUCCGACUAAUAGGUAAAAGGCGCCACAUCGUCUGGUGAAGUUUAUUACGGUGAAUCAAAAUUAACAGCGCAAAUGUCCAUCAUUAUUUGAAGCGCAAUGUCCUAUCGUUUUUACAGGUAAAAAAGCGACAAGCGUCCUGUGAAUUCAUUACGUAUGUCCCGAGCAAUUUGCUUAUAUGUAUUACGUGUGACGUAAUUUUAUUUUCGAAACCGUCCCAUAUGGAUUUAUCAUUUGUGAUCAUGAACGUUUCUUUCAAAUGCCAGGAUUAACGAAGAAUUAUUCUACUGCUCAAGAAAGAGUAUUAACAACCAAUAACUCCGAUAUAAAGUAUUCUGUAUGAUUAGCUGAUGACACAGAGAUUUCGGGUAUUCGUCCGCAAGAAAGCAAACGUAACGACAGUUUUACAGACAAAGCCGAAUUAUCUUUAAGACAACUACUAGUGUAAAGCUAACGUCGCUGCUAACUUUCAUAAAGAACGUUAAAAAAUUAGGGAUCCUUGAAUUUUGUGCUCGUCAAACACAGGAAAGAUUAAAGGGGUUAGAAUUUUAUAUUGGGGUCACUAAUUUUUCAUCGCUUUUCACAAAAUGAUUUUAUGCAUAUGUACCCUUCUUUUAUGAUGUAAAAAUAAUUUAAAUCGAUUAAUUUAAUUUCUCUAUUUACGGAAACGAACAAACGUAUAAUGAAUAAGCGGACAGAUUAAAGAUGCCGAUUAUACGUUAUGUUUUCUUCUCAAUUAUUGAAGGCACUUGGCGGUUGCCUAUCAUUACUUACAUCCAUCGCACUUCAAUUUGAACUUUAAAAAAAUUUUCACACAGAAUACAGCUUAUAAUUGUGUGGGUGUAAGGAGGAAAGUUAUAUAAAAUACAAAACCUAUAAACGUUGUUUUUUUCCCCCCGUUUGAAUGUUUUACAUAGUAAUCAUGGGGCCCUUUAUAGCUUGGUUUGUUCGUUGCUAGCCAAGGUUUCGUGUUGAAGGCUGUACAUUAAGCUACCAUGUUUUUACUUUCAUAAUUGUAUUGGAUGGAGAAUUGUUCAUUGGACUCACCCACAUUCCUAUUAUCUAUUUUUCUAUACCCUUAAGGGGUUAGCCUGAAUGUGUGCGUUUUCUUACGCGAAUAGCUGCAGAAGACAUUGAAUUAUUUAAGGACAGGGGUUGAUUUGAAUGAUUGAUUGAAUUGUUUGUUGUUAAAGUCCAGUGGCAAUAUUUUCAAUGGCAUCAUAGGAACGCAGAACAAUUUCACAGUAAUAACUAGGUAUGUUGAUACGAUAGAGGCAUCUGGAUAAUGGUCAGGGAAAUUGGACUGCCAACUGAAAAGAGGAACCUUGUAUAGGGACAGAAAUUUUGUCUUGCAAUCAGGCCACUAAAGACCCUCAAAAGAGUUGGUUCAAGGAUUCUUAACGUCAAAUAGAGGCAAGAGCGUCUGCAGUAUCUUUACACGAGGCAUCAGAUUUACGUCCCCCUUCUGAAGGACGUGACUGCGAACUUGAUCCAUCCGCACAGCAAAUGGAACGCCGCGUUUCGGCAAGCGUUUUACUGCGGUCGGCGAGAGACCUGGCAGUGACCAUAUUUUAUACCAUUACCUAAAGGACAGGGUUUUCAAUCUAACGGAUUCCUGUUAAAGAAAAUGUAGGUGAUCUUUCAGCAAUUUUUGAAUAAUAUGCUAUUGAAAUGCACUAUCAAGUUUGAUUUAUCGAACUUUAUUGUAAAAAAGGUAAACUCAUUUUGACAGAAACAAAAGAACAUUUUCAUUGCAUAAUUUAAUCUUAAAUAUUUAAAAAUUUGUUUAUAUACAUGGUAUUUUCUUUUAACAUUUUGAUCACAGCCAAUUUUCUGUACGGUGUGUGAAUACCGCAAAGGUUCUUAGUGCAACUGAAGGACUAUACAAAUCAUUGGUGCAUUCAAGAACAAAGUUUUUUCUGCACUAAGGAUUUAAAACGAUGUUAUUAGAGCCACAAAUCAAUGGAUAUGAGAAGAUAUAAGUUUACUCAUAAAUAUAAAUUUGGGUACAAUAUAUAUCAUAAUUUUUGAAAUUGACUUCUUUUUUUAUCAGCGCAUGUGCAUGUGACGAAGGUAUUGCAAAUUCCAAAACACUAAUGUUCAGUCAACCUUAUUCCAAUAAACAAUUGUCAUUUGAUCGUUACUAAUUGAUUAAGUUUUUGAUAGUUGUAGAAUAAAUUCAAUCGAUUUAGCGUAGUUUAUUUCAACUUUGAUGAAAGAAUAAUUUUAUUUUAAUGUCCAUCUCUAACACACAGGAGUUUUACAUUUGUACAUAUUUCCUAAGAGAUGAUAGACACUUAAGAUGGGGAAAAUGUGGCAUUCGUGGGGGAUCUUAAAAACGUUACAUAUUAUUAAUAGUGGUGGGAACGGAACUGUCGGUUUCUGACUUUCGACAUUCGAAAAUUAGCAACAGUUGCAACAUGAAAGUUUCAAUAGUGAAUCAAAUGAUACAAUAAACGUUUCUUCUAGACAUCAACAUUCUAUAUUAUAUAAAAGCCAAUCAAAUAAUAAACGACGUAAUGCAUACAAUACGUUUUUUCGUCGAAUGGAGGCGCUUUUAAUAGUAUGGAUCAGAAACUGUCAACACACAGCGGAUAAAUGUCAAUAAUCAUUGAAAUACACAUCGUGAGUCCAGAAAUUUUAAAAGUAUAUUCUGAAGAUGUAUGGUCUUAAUUUUUGUCUGAAGUUUGAAAGACAUUGCACUCAGUAGAGAUUCACAUUAUACUUUUUUUCAAUAUCGGAUAAAUUCAUUGACUGUAACAAUCGCUUACGGUUUACUGUACUACUCAUUUGGGCUUUUCCUGUACAAUCGUUGUCACUUAUCAAGCUUAUAUUAAUAAUGAUGUGAUAUAAAUUGCACUUAUAACAACUAUCAUCAAAUUAAUUGGAUGUACAAUGGAUAAGCUAUAUUAGGCGACCAUGACCUUAUAAUCCGGCUAUUAUUUAUAUAAAAGGUCCAACAUACAAGUUUUGAACAAUUAAAUUCGAAAACUAACGGCAUUAUCUAGAAAAACAACAAUUUACAAAAACAAAAAUAAAAUAAUCGCAGACAUGACCAACGGCAACACUGAUACAAGCCAUGACUUGGGAUUUUCCACAGAGAAGAUGACGUAUAAGCCAUUGCAUGUGUGUGUACGGCUCAACUCCUAAACUGAAGUGGAUGUAAGCAAUUAAAGGCAACCCGGCCUUCAAAAACGAGAAACCCUUCCAUAUAUCGACCGAUACUAACGGCCCGAAUGUAAAAUGUGAAUUUUUUAAAACUAACCAGCGUGCAUGUUUAUCAGCUUACAGAACUUGAAAACCAAAAAAAUCAUUAUAAAUAAAACAUAACGGAUAUAACCUUUUUUUAGAGCUAUCUUAAUCAUAAACCAAGCUUCUGUCUAGUUUAUUAGAAAUGCAGGAUAGUUAGAAAGUCAAUUUAAGUUUCAACACUUUAACGCCACAGAGUAAUUUUUUUGUGGUUUGUUAGAUAGCUUUGCAACAAAAGUCGGAAGGCUAACAAAACUGUAUAAACUAUUAUACUUUGCGAAAUAAUGUGUAUCUUCUAUUAUAUCAAGUAAUGUGUUGGUUAAAUAAAUCUCUAUACAUUUUUUACUAUUUAAAAUAUCUUUAUAAAAACAUUUAACAGAACUUAAAAAAGUGCAGCUUACGGAACUAAGAAACGGAUUAUAGAACAAAAUAAGAAGAAAAUAACUCUUAAUAGAAGUAAAAACUAUAACAGUCAGACAAGCAAGAAUGAGAUAUGACAGUAAUAACUAUACCAUAAAAACAAGAACAACAUGAAAUAACAUAAUGAUUACAUUCUUUUAAGUAUACCUAGUGUAUUCACCACGGGUCAAGGUUGAUAAUGAACAGAAUUUCUAUAAUAUUCUGUCAACUGAGUGUGGCGCGUGUCGAUAAGAUAUAAAUAACUUUCUAAUGUGAUUCAUAAAAUCGUUUAUUUUUUAAACUGUUUGACUCUAUAUAUUGCAAUGCUUUUGUGUCAAUUGUAUCAUUCCAUCAGGUCCUUCUAAGUGGCAAUUUUUGUUCCUAAGUGCACUAAGGGGGAAUUUUGGGCGUGUAUUUAAGGACACCAAAAAAAGAUUAAAGGAAAAACGUUAUUUGUGGCAUUUUUUUCGAAAAUGUUUCAUUUGUCUAAAUAGUUUGAGACAAUCUAUUCUUUUUCAAUUCAUACAUUUUAAAGGUAAACACUUGAGUUACACAUACACGCCUACAUUUUUGAUAGAAAAAAAUGCAUUUUCAUAUCGUAUAAUCUUUUUAACUUAUAUAAAAUUUGCGGUUUUUGUGAUAUGUCAUGUAGUUUGACAACGUGUUCAAUAGUGUUUGAAGAAGCUACUAAACAUGAUUUUAAAAACCUUAUACACCACAUCGGAGGUACAUGUAAUGAUACAUUACGAUGAACGUUGAUUUAAAUUGAAAUAGCCAUUGAAUUGCCACGUUUAUUUAAUGGAUCGUUCAUCGUUUAUUACCUUAGAUUAAUUAACAAGUGCCAUCGAACUUUAGAUCUUUUAGACGUAUAUCCAACGCAUACAUCGCUAAUUUUAACAGUUAGAGUGAAGACGAAGAGAAUUAUUUAUAAUAGUGCAUCGAACAAGCAAAUAAAUAAUACAUAUUUAUAUUUUAUUAAACAGUUUUUUAUUCAAAUGAAAGAUAGGAUACGCAUUUACAAACAAAUGUAAUAUAUCAAUGCACACUUAUUUACGUCAUACAUAUGUAUUCGUUUUAAUCUAUGAGGAUCUUGACGGGGUCCUUAUUUUGUUUUAUUAAUGCUUUUUAUCACUCUCACUUACGGCCUAAGAGCAAGUUUCAGAAGCUUAGUUAGAAACGGAGACAAGGUUCUUGAUGCGGCUAAAGAGGAUAACGAAAUUAACUAUAUAAUGAUCUUACAUAUAAAAUAUUGUAUUUUGCGUUAUUGAUCGUAUCUGAUGAAGUAAAAUCCAGAAACGAUGAAUUCGGACGUAUGGAAAUUUAUAAAGAUAAGAUAAGAUACGAUAAUAAUUUUAUUAACAAUCAAGGUGCCCAAAUUUGAGCUAUCAAUCAAAUGAAUGAAUUCCAUUUUUUUUUUUAAAUAAUAUCAGAAUGAUUUAUGUUUCAUAAUUAAAAAAAAUAUAUCAGUCAAGAUCGUUUAACUAAACUACCGUUGUGUAUCGCAACUAAAGAUUUAUUCGAAUAUAAAGGAUACAUGUUCAUUUAGUUACAAGAAUUUUUGUUACGUCAAGGUUUAUGAUAUGCACCGAUAAUAUACGAAUCGUAACAACGCUUCAUAUGCUCGUCUACUAUAUGCUCUUCCCACAAUUUUACGCCUGUUUUGCUCCAGCGACGGUAUUACGUUUAACAUAGUUAAAAUCUCAUUGAUCUGUUACUUUAUUUUACAAUUUGAGCAGACUUAACUGUUUAUUCUUAAAAUUCACAAAAUGUCAACAUUAUUUCAUCAUUUAUAUUUAACAAAACAUUGUUUUUCAUACAAGCAAUUUUCAUAUAUUAUAUACACGCUAGUGAAUUUUGUUGUCUACCGAAAAAUAUAAGAUUUAAUUAUAUAGCAAUCAAUAUUUUGUGAUGUUACUUUUAUUUCCGUUACAUAUCUAAUUUACGAGUCACAAAUAGUAAAGACAGAAAAAAAGAACGAUAAAUAUUCAGAAUACUAAGUUUCGUUAGCAAUUGCAAGUAUCCACACGCUUCUUAGAUUCCACAGAGUUUUUAUUUAGCAAUUAGCCAUUUUUUAAAACGACAUAUGUGAGAUAAAGAUCUACUGCAUUUUGGCAAUUCAAAUUCAUGUUUACUACUAUUUUAUUUUCAACAGAUUCACAUUUUUAAAACGUGCAUCAAAUAUUUUAAUGUGUUUAUCUAAUUUCUUUUAUUCAUUUAGUAACAAUUGUGAAGCAUGCGACUUUCUUAGAAGAAUAAACUACAUUAAACUAAAUUCGAUUAAAUUUGGAUGAAAAAAAAAGAUAAAUAAAGAAGUUUGUNNNNNNNNNNNNNNNNNNNNNNNNNAUGAAACCUAGUUUAACUGAUGUAGAAAACCAGAGUGCCUGAGUCAAUACACUUCAACAGGAUAAAUUAAAUAAGCUACCAGGUUUUAUGUUAGGGGGUUGAUGAAGGUGCUGUUGUUUUAAACUUUUUAAUCCGCUAUUGUUAUUUGCAGUGUGUGUGAAAUGGCAGCAGCUUCUAUGAGCUGUGGUGUUUGUGAACUCCGUCACAUCACCAAACCAUCCAUAGUCUGGUGUUCAGAAUGUGACGAGGGACUAUGUGCAGAAUGCCAGGAGCAUCACAGUUUGUCAAAAGGAACCAGAAACCAUAAAGUGAUUACAAUUACUGAAUACACGAAAUUACCAGCUGAUGUACUAAUGAUUAGUCAAAACUGUAGUAAACACGUUAAAAAGUAUCAAUUUUAUUGCCAGAAGCAUGAAUGCCCCUGCUGCAGCAAAUGUAUCGUGGAAAUCCAUAAAGAAUGCCAAGAUUUCGUCGAAUUAGAUGACGUCAUUCACAAUGUCAAAACCUCCAAUGCCGUUUGCGAAAUAGAGGAAACAUUAUUUGAAGUUGCAGAAAAUCUACAGAAGAUUCGUCAGCAUCAACAGGACAACCUGACGACAUUAAAAGAAAGUAGAAAGGAAAUAGAAAAAGAAAUAAAGAUGACCAGAAUAAAGAUCAACAACCAUCUUGACAAACUACAAGAGGAUUUAAUUAAACAACUGUAUGCAGUAGAAGAAAACGAAAAGUCGAAAAUUGGUCAGUUAUUGUCAUCAUUAGAAAAUAAUGAAAAGGAUAUAGCAGAAUGCAAGAGAAGUAUUAUGAAUAUUAAACAACAUGCAACAGACCUUCAAGUCUUUCUUUCAAUAAAGCAAAUAGAAGGGGACGUCUAUAGCAAAAAUAAAUUCUUACAGUCGCUUGAAGAAGACAAGAUUUUCACCAAAACUUCUCUUUCAUAUAAGAUCAACACCUCUAUCCAGAAUAUCAUGUCCGAUAUCAUAAGUUUUGGAGAUGUGCGUAUUGAAGCUAAAUCUUGCGAUAUAGUUAUUACUAGGAAAAAGGCUAAACAAGCUCAAAUGAUGGUACCGACCGUUCAAUCAAGACCCAUCGAAAAUAUAACGUUAACGAAACAAAAUACUAUCAACGCUCGAGGAAACUCAAUCUACGGAUGUUGCAUGUUUCCGGAUGGUAGAAUGGCAUUUACUUACAACUCGGAUUCUAAGGUAAUUGUGUUUAACCUGAAAGGAUUAAAAGACUUUGAGGUGAAGGUACCGUUUAACCCGUUUGAUUUAGUGUUUAUCAGUGAGGACAAUACAUUGGCUGUUACAUCUGGUCAUUCAGAUAGGAAGUGUAUUACUAUUAUAGACUUGGAGAAGAAACAAAUCAAGAAAACAAUUUCACUGGAUUCGAAUAGUUUUGGCAUUGCACUGAAAGAUAAUCGAUUGAUUUAUUCCGCUGGCUCUAAAGGUAUACGAAUGAUCAAUCUAGAGGACGAGUCUAUACGUGACAUAGUCCGAGACAAAAUGCCCGGUCAAUGUAACAUUGCAACAUUGAGGGACAAUAUAUACCAUACAAACAAUAAAACAAACACUGUCACAUGUUAUAAUCUACAAGGUGAAAUACAAUGGAAUUUCCGUAACGAAAACGUUUUGAAAUAUCCUCAAGGUAUUGAUGUAGAUAUUGACGGAAGGGUGUACGUGACAGGGCUCAAUCCACACAAUGUUGUAGUUAUCGCACCUGAUGGAAAGCGACAUCGAGAAGUUUUGACAGCAAGUGAUGGCCUUGAUUAUCCUGCAUCGCUUCAUUAUAGAGGACCACAAGAGCAGUUGCUAGUCGCGAACUUCCACAACACGGCUUAUUUGUUCAAUAUAAAUUAAACAAAUUUAAGAUGUCAAAAGUGUCUCUCUUUAGAUUGUAUUCUGUAAAAUAUUCAUAAAAGCUGAAAUUUGGAACCAUACGUUGACAAUUUAUCAUUUACACAAUAUGCAUGAUAUGUGGUGUUUGUGUAAAACAAAAGUAAAUAUGCAAU
rnacentral:lncRNA from 1 species